rnacentral:lncRNA from 1 species
GUCAGCCAGGUUAGGGGGAUCACCUUCACAGGCAUCCUGUCAUCCCACAGUCAGGGAGAGCGGCAGGAGCAUGAGGUGGAAAUCGAGUUUUGGUGCAGGGUAGAGGGGGUUUGGAAGUGCACAUACAUACAUACAUACAUACAUACAUACAUACAUACAUACAUACACACACACUCUCCCACGCCGGUCAGAAACUGGUGGAGGGUGGAGAUGUGCGGAACGUAGAGGUCGCUCCGGCGGGUACGGGGAGCCGGGUCUGGAGGCAGCGCUGCUGGCAAUGACAGGACAGGACAGAACAGCUGAAGGACAGGACUUGAGGCGGCGUUCUGUUCAAUUCGAUCUCGUCCCCUGGCCCUCUUUCCCUCUCCAUCCACCUUUCCCCCGUCUCCCUCCCCCCCACCACUCACGGUGUUUCUCCCGCUUAAGAAUGGGCAGGCAGUAGUUGUGAGGCCGCAACCCCUUAGCGAACAGCGCAUUGCGGUUGAGCAGCAUGUGCUGGGGGGUGAUGGUGGCAGCCACGUUGGCAGGGGCGGAAGACACGAACUCAGCCUGAAGGAGGGGGGAGAAGGGGUCAAUGGAGGACGGAGGGAAGGGAAAUAAAAAGAGCACAAUCAGGGAGAGAGAUUGGGUAAGGGAAGGGAAGGGAAGGGAAGGGAAAAGGUAGGGGAUGGGGUGCUUGGGAGGUCAAGGCAAACUGUGAUGUGGGGUGGGGUGGGGCCCAGGGGUUGCUGAGGCCAGGGGCUACGUGUGUUUCUUGGGGGCGCUGAUGGAUCGGUCUCGUGGUCGAUCCCGGGGCGAUUCUCUGAAAAAACAUGGAAAAUAAUAAGUUAAGUUCGAUAUUCAGUUACUCCCCAAAAUCAAAAACCGCCAGUGCCGCCCUAACCUUCUGCACCCACAUUUCCAAUGCUCUUCCACCCUUGCGGCCGCUCCCAUUCACUCUCCCCUCCCCUUCCAUCUCCGCAACCCUGACACACACACACACACACACACACACCUCCCCCGCGCCCCGCCUCACCGCAUCCUUCGUCGUGAUGUGCUCCAUAACUACCUUCAGGUCGGGCACCUGGUCCAACAACGGUAACUGAAAGUACGGGAGGAUAAGGGAGGGAGGGUGUGGGGGUUUUAGGGUUUGUACAGCAAAGAUCACGUGAAACACGGCUGAGCGCGUGUUCCGUUUCCCAUCCCCUUCACCCCCCCCGGGGUGCGCCCUUGACUGCUGCCCAUUCCCCCUUCCACCUCUUGCCUUGCCUCCCCCACCCCUCUUCACACGCCCUCCCCAUCAUUAGGAACUCUGCACACGCACAUCCCCGGGAACAGCCCAGUCGGGGUGGAGUCCGCGUCUCGGCGGUCGCCGUGUUUUUCUUCCGUUUUCCUUUUUCCCAUAUCCCCUUUCCCAAUUCUUCCCGCCUUUCUUUCCUUCCCCAUUUUCCCGUUUCUCCCCCGCCCCUACACACACACACACACAGCCACACCAAUACCCAUACCCACCAAUUUUCGCUGAAUGAACACGGCCUCCCGGUCAAACAUGUCGACCUCUGGGUCGGUGACCUCCCCGUGGACCAGCAGCAACACGCCCGCUUCAGCCAUGGCCUGAGGAAAGCCACACCGCGGUCCGGGCACCGGACACAUGUACCGCGUACAUGACACACACGGUAACGCGGCGGCACGGGGUGUCAGUACGGCAGUACGGUACAUGUACAUAUGUAUAUACCUUAAUACCUUAACACAUUUCUCCCUAUAUAUAGAUAUUUUUUUGUCAUGUAAGGGUUGGAUCAGAUGUGGUGUUGGCGAUUAACAGCUCUCGAAGUCGCAUUUGCCUUUCCUGCGGGGUGAUGUCCUGCGGGCUGGUGGAGGGGGAGGAGGAGGAGGAGGAGGAGGAAAAGGGGAAUACUAUAUCAUGCCCAACAUCGGAAUGCGGUUCAGCAAAAAUUAUGAUGAAGGUUUAAUUGUUGACAUGCACGCGGCAGGCGGAAGUGCGAGCCAAGUAGUUACUCCAACUCGCCACCGCGAAGGUGCGUCGGGGCGGUUAGGCCACGUGUGUUUUUGUGCGUGUGCUGGGCCCCGAUCAAAAAGUGGUUCAGGAAAAAGUGGUUCGCACUCAAACAAAAGUUGAGUACGAUAACUUCGGUCACUACAGAUUGCCGUACCCCAUACAUGCCGUACCUUGAGUGCGGCCAUGGGCUUGUUCAAAUCGGUGACCCCGGAAUCCGAAUUGGUGGUGGCGCCUGGCGUUCAACGAAAAAGCGAGAGGGGGGAAAAGAAUGAGAGAAACCCCAAAAUGUGCUGCAGGAGAAGACCCGGAUCAAAACGGACACCGCUCAGAUGGGCAGGCCCGAGUGUGUGUUUGCAGCUGUGUUUGCAGGUUUGUAUGUCUGUGUGUGUUUUAUUUAGGUAAUCUGAGCCCUGUGUGUGUGUGAGUGCGCGCGCGCGUGUAUGCGUGUGUGUAUGGAGGUGUGUGGUGGCGUGCAUAUGUGUGUGGUUACGGGAGGAAUGCGGGGGAGAGGAGCGGGUAGAGUGAGAUUGCAUGAACAGUCGGUUAACCGUUAGGAAGCAACGGAAGUGGCGGAUGCGAGCCUGCCCGGCUGCACGUGCGGAAACACCUCCUCCUCCUCCUGCCGUACNNNNNNNNNNNNNNNNNNNNNNNNNNNNNNNNNNNNNNNNNNNNNNNNNNNNNNNNNNNNNNNNNNNNNNNNNNNNNNNNNNNNNNNNNNNNNNNNNNNNNNNNNNNNNNNNNNNNCGCUGAUGACCUCCGCCGGGGAGGUUCUGAUCACCCCGGGGGGGGGGGAAAGGCCCGGAACGGGGGGGGGACGGGGGGAGGGGGGGAGGAGGGGGGAAGGGGGAGGGAUGUGUAUGAGGUGGAGAGAGGGGGGAGGGGAGGGGGAGGCGCACGAAGCGAUGUGGGAGUUCUGCAGCUUGCAGAUAUGACCCUGCGACUUCAAGUCGCGGAUAGGGAGGGGGGUGAUGGGGGAUGAGGGAGAGCCGUACUGUACCGUACCGUACUAGAUCCAACGGCGGCAACCGGAUCCCAGCAGCAAGGAUUCCCCGGGAGGGGGAGGGGGAUAAGGACCGGGGGCCGGGUCCUGGAGGACCCCCCCCAACCCCCUUACACAGGCCGGGAGGAGUGACGGCGCCGUACACUCACUCACAUACAUUCACACACAUUGGGCUCACCUGUCCGUGAGGUACAGCGUCAUGAGCGGCUGAAAGGUGGACCCCGCGGGUACGGCAGCCAGGAUACGGGACUUGUAGUCCUGGGCCUAAGGGGAAAACACACACACACAUACAUACAUACACACACAUACAUACACACACUGGACUGCUGGUGCUGCCUGCGGUGCCGGUGUUGGAGGUGGUUGUGCAGUCUGUCCAUAUGUCAUGGGCGGAUGAUCAUGGGCGAGGGGGCUCUCAAGGACGUGUGUUCGGGGAGUUGUCGCAGCCGGAUGGCCCGCAGCUAGGCAGGGGCCCUCAGCACCCCUUAUAACCUUGUGUGAGCCUCACCACUCCCAUACACUUUCAUUCCAACCCCAUGCCCCCUUACUCCUUCCCCCCACCCCAACCCCCACACAGCCUCCACCCGCCGUGCCUCCCUCACCGCCUGAGUGGUGUUGAUGGGGGGCACCAGAUUGGGCAUAACGAUGGCCCGCCCGAAGUGCAGGGCGGUGUGGGGCACCACGUCCUGGCGGGUAACGAACGUAGGGAGGGGGCCGAUGCGGCGAUGGUGAGGGCCCGGAUUUGGAGGGGAUUAGGGAAACAGGGUUUUGGCGGGUAAGUAAGAGAAAACGCGAGGGGAUAGGCACGACGAUACAAGAUGAUGGGUGGACGGGGCGGGAUUUUUGGCUAAAGAGAAGGAAGCGGAGAAACCCGCCCUCCCGCUCUUUCCCCCACCCACGUCACGUCACGUCCGCUCUUCUGAGGAGUGACGGCGGGCCCUCGAGAGGUGGACCUCACCGCCAUGGGUUGGCCAUCCCGGACGUGAAGGUGCCAGUCGUCGGGACGGGUGAUGGUCAAGGACUGUACUGCGGCGGCCGCCGCCACCGCCCCAGCGGCGGCGGCGCGUGGCCGCACGGUGUUGCCCGCCGCUGUUGUGACUGAAGCGCUUAAGAGGCGGGUUCCGGAGCAGGAGGCGGAGGAGCCGUACGACGUGGCGCCGCCUGAGAUUUGGGCGGUGGCAUGGAGCGGGUGGUGGUGGUGGUGGCGGGGAGGAUGGAGGGGAGGAGAGGGGGAAAGGGGAGUCGAAGGACGUUUUGAAAGGGGGGGGUUUGAGGGCGGGAUAUCCGAAGGCCUCCAAGGAUGGUCCCGGCGCGCGGUAGAAAGGGCUGGGGCUCAGCAGGCACAGCGCGGUGAGGAGUGGAGUCUGUAGAGGGAGAUAUGUGGUUUGGGAGGAAACGCUGUGUGGUUGUAGGCGAGGUGUGUGUGUGUGGCAGGGGGUGUUGGAGCUGGUGUUGGGGUUGUGGUGCGGCUGGGAGAGUUUGGAGGUAACGGCAGCGGCGGUGAUCCCGCCAUAUUGCUGCGGCGUGGCCAUGUGCUGAGUUUUAUGAGGUGGUGGUGUAAUGGGGCCACUAGGUGGCUUUGCACAUGGCUUUUAUGUUUUUGCAUGAGUACUGGCCCAUCGGCCAGCCAAGAAGUGGAGAAUGAUCAGCUGUGCGCACAGGAAAGGUGAUGAGAAACACGGAGGGUCGCAAAGCACGGCAGUGGGCCGAUGGGAGUCAAAGCCCGAAAGUAGAGACUUCUGAUAACUGCAGCAGCGGCCAAAGGAUUAUUUUAAAUGUCGCCUUUUCGUCACAACUUGGAAUUCGUCCAUGCGAGCCGCGGAUGGUUUGUAAUUGGCAUACGAUGGCGGCGAUGUCCGUUUAACCAGCCCGCGGCGUACCCGUGGGAAACGAUGCCUUGCAGCCCGUCUUACAGGAAAUUGACGUUUUAAGCAUCCUGGCUGCAACUCCAAACAUGCAGGGUUGCUUGCAGCGUGGACCGACGAAGUGGAGAGCUGAAGCGUAAUUAUAAUGACGUCCUUCAUGCGUUGAUAAGUUAGCACAUAAGCUCCUAAUAUUUAGAGGCCAAAGCUCACAGGGGACAUGGCCGGGAAAGGUAGUUGGGAGGCCCUGACAUUACUCAAACAAACGUCCAGAAUGCACAUUACGACUUUCAGUACUGUGAAAUCAAAACGUAUUGUGUUCUUAUCGAUGCACUUUGGCCGCAACAUUCACGAAAGCUUUCAUUAGUUCGUUGCAGUGGAAGCAACACCCCCUGCCAACAAAUGAUUCGCAAUGCGCACCAAUUACUUCUAACGUUUUGAAUGGAUGCCUGUAAGACUGAUUUGUGUAGGUCGCAAAUGUAAAACUGAAGUGUAACCGGCCCAGAACUCAAAAGCCCGACAUGAAUUAUGCGUGAGCAUUGUGCUACCUUGUAAAUUGCAUGCGGUGGCCGUUAUCACGUGUUGUCGCAGGUCGCAGCGCUGAAGUAAAGCACUGGGAAAUAUUGGAGCCGUCUCCUUGCCAAUAAGCUGCCAUCUAAACGACUAGGCCACCCGGCCUCGUCGUGCGUUUGUUACCGAAAACCGAAAGAUCCAUUCCACUAGCACAAUGAGCAAUGCCGAAUCAGGGGCGAAGUCCUUAUUGUUACGCACACACAAGGUUACAAGGUCCCCGAUUCGCACGAGCAAGCCCGUUCAUACAGACAACAAUUCGAACACACAAACGAUAUUACUACAAAGCAACCACAGCUGCUCACGCAGCAGAUGAGCGUGCUCCUUACCAAAAACUACCUCGCUGCUACUAUAGCUACAACUGCCCUCCUCCUCCGCGACAACUACAUGCUUAAUAAGCAUUGCUUAAUCGCUAUAACGGCUCUAUUUUUUUGUGCUCGCAGGUGCUCACUCUAGGCAGGUUGGGCGAGCGAGCAACGGCGGACAGCAUGACUUUGCUGCUUAGAAAGCAAUCCCAUCCUUAAUAUAAAUCGCGCACCACAACACCGCGACACAGACCACAUCAACGCUCUUCGCGGCCCCUAACAAUGCCUGCCCGUUAGCUGUAUCCUUUCGUAAGUCCGCUUCGCAACCUUGUGCCCGCGACGGGGCCGUGAACCAUUCUGCAUACGCCGAACUAGAACGCGUGUACGCAGGUCUGCCAAACAUGGUCCCUCGCCGGCGGUUCAGGCCAGCUCGAAAAGCUAAGCAAACGACACGGGGCUAUUUAUGACCUGCAGCGCGGACGGAUGCCCCCGAGCGACCUGCUGCAGGCAAUCCUCGGCCACCUGAAAGCGUGCAAUAUCAUGAUUGACAUGUCACAAAUGGCGGAUAAUUACACCUUGAUCCCUAGAGAUGGACGCAAGAUUAUGGUAAUACGUACGGAUCAGGCGUAGGGCGGGAAGGAGAUGUGGAUUCUCCACCGCAUCCGCCGCUUACCUUUUGCUGCAUGCGCUUUUGGUGCCUGGGGAAUGUAUUUCACUGCACAGGCAUGCAACAACACCCAAAAAUGUUGCCCCAAGCUUGCAGGCGCUUUGUAUGUGCCUUAGUCAGCGUUUUAUAACUUUCAUAAGGUGAAGUUAUGCAACUUUCUGUUUAAUGACAGCAUUUUGGACGAGUGCGAAGGGUGUGUGUCGCGAAAAGCACAGAGCACAUGCCGUGUCCAGAUCUUUGCGUGCUCCCUCAUUGUAACCGGCAGGAGAGAGUGGGUAUGUUGCUGGAAAGUGGCCGGGCAUAUCUAGUUGUGAAGACGGUUUUCAGGAGAUGGAUUGAGUUUGAAGAAGGAGAAAAGCGUGUGUGUCCAAUAUGGGAAAACCUGUCGGCCACAGCUGUGUAUGCGCAUGCCAUGUUGUACUGCUCGUUGAUACGCGGCGCAAACCUAUGUGGGACAGGACAGUGAUACUUGUCCGUUUUGCGUGUUGCUCCACGAGUUACCAAUAAGGUUCAAGCCUUUUGCCCUUUCCGUUUUGUUUUGGCCUUGUGCACUUCGUAUGCGCGGCAUGUUUUGCAGGCGCUCUCCUGCACAGUACAUGCAACGGACCAGAAAACAUUCCGUACAAAUAUCGUUCUUUUGGCUUUGCUAUGUUACACAAUGUUACGAUCGUCCUUGCUUCGCUCUGCGUUGGGGUGCUGUGUCACCGCAGAUGUACGGUGCUGGGUUUCUAUUGAGCCUUUGAGAGCCUUUGCUGCCAACAGUAAGGACAUACGUGUAUGGUGAUGAGCGUGAGCACGUCCCAAUACGUUAUGUGGCAAGGUGUCAUGGGUCUAAGGAGCAGGUUGAACGUGAGGGGCCUUACUCGCACACACACACGCACAUGCGAAUACCGUUGGUCGGGUCACAGAGCGAAAUUGCAGUGCCUUUGUAACUUUAUUAAAGUUGUUCAUGCUCGCGGUCCACAAAGUUCAGCUCAGAGCCUCGCAACUUCCCGCGGUCCGAACGCAUUUCAUAUAAAGACGUUGACCGUUGCACCAAAUAUUUUUAAUAUUACUCAAGAUUAUGUAGACCACAAAUCCAAUGCAAAAUGGCUGCAUGUGGCAUGCUCUGGUGCUUCAUGUUGGCUUGCCCACCUAGAAGGUGGGCAAGAACCUAUAGAUGUUGGAUGAAAUGGACGAGCAUGCUCGGACUGAGACACAAUUACGUAACAAUCGCAUUCACAAUUACUCUUUGCGCAAUCCGGAACGAACGUCGUAAAACGAGGCGCUGCGUUCGGUGCCUUGGCGCAACUUGGCGCGGUGUUAUCGAAGAACAGAGAAAAUAUGGUAAAAUUCAAAGCGCGGAAGUCCGGGAGAUAUGCAGUGUGAAGAAGUGGCCGAGCAUAAGGCGGUUACAAAAGUUCGCAUGACGCAAAUCGACCAGACAUCUGCAGAUGUCAGAUCGACCAGACAUCUGCAGAUGUCAAAUCGACCAGACAUCUGCAAAUCCCAGCUGGGAUGUGAUACCCGGAAAAAUGGCAAAGUGAAGCGUCAAGUAAAAAGAAGAAAUUCCUAAGAACAACUAGUAAUAAUGAACGUUGUAUUAUAUGAACGUUGUAUAUAAAGUGAAGCGUCUAGAGGAGGGAGAGGAGGGAGAGGAGGGAGAGGAGGGAGAGGAGGGAGAGGAGGGAGAGGAGGUGUGGGUGCGAAAUGACGGCCUUUCGACAUGUCGUGGUAAAGUGAGGUUAAGUGCACGAACACAACUUAUCCAUUACCUUUGCUCCCUGUAAGCUUUCAAUCGAUUCAGCACCAACGACUCACAGUGCUCAAACAGAUUAUCAAAAUCUCAUCACAACAUAGGCUGCGGCACCCUCAAACGCAACCACUACAGGCUAACACAAUUCCGCUUUUGGGCAAGCCGACAUUACGUGUAGCGUGUUGUUUGACCAUAGGCCGUGUCAUAGAACUGCAAGAAUACGGCGGGCCUGCAGGCCCGAAUGCACUGCAAUAUUACAGAGUUAUAAACCUUUCAAAAACAUGCUAAUAGGUUCCAAAAUACUUCAACAUCAAGGAAAUCGCCUCCUCCUAGUAAAAGGCAAAUAGGGUCGGUCAUCCGUGAACAGCACCUGAUCAUCCUUGCGCGUUCAUAUGUUUUUUGUUUUCGCUUAAUUUCAUAUGGCUAUCUUUUUUCUAAAUCAUCAGCUCGGAUGACUCGGAUAAGCCUACCUAAUACGAGCAUAAAGUACAACUAAAGAGCCAAACUGUACAUGGCGCAGGUGCCAUCUUUAUAUACGCUGACGUAUAAAUGCUGGCCUAAUUACAUGUGCGUUUUAACAAACGAACUUAUUUCAGGCAACGGCAGCGAGUAUCUUCGUGUUAACACAGCACGGAUAUCACGCGCCGCUUUCCUUUUUGCAUGCUUGUUAGUACACGAUGGAAAUAAGAAUAUCAUUUAUGAAAUCACGUCUGAAUUCAAUCACGUCUGCCGUCCUUAUGCCGUCCCAUAAAAACUGCUUUACGUUUCCUGUAAAUGCUUGUACUGCGACCUUUGCUUAACUUUUUACUAGAUUUUGUACUUCAAAUGACGGAACCUGAAUGGUCGCCAAUGGAGUUACGCAUGAGUACUUAAGUUUUAGUAUAGUAAUCAAGCACGACUACUUAGAUGUGUUAAAUGGUUUCGUUAUAAUGUUGUAUACGACAGCUUUGCUCUCUCGCCCAUUGUACACAUCCUGUGGCAUGGGCUUGAAGCGGACCUAAAGAGAACACGGGGCGCUGACCUUGCAGCAGGGAGAUAUGGAAAAGGGCGUGCAUGCCGAUGUGAUGCUGCUUCUCCUACUCUUCGCUGCUGCGUCAGUUGGCGAGGCUAAGAUGCAGGUAAACUACACAAAAAGACGCUCUCCAUGAAGCUUGGUGCUUUUAGCUGUAGUUAUUUUCCCUGGACUGGACGAUACGUACACUUUCAUUUGUUACCUGUGCCUGCAUCCUCGCUGUCCAUUGCAAAUAAAUGUCAGAGGUAAAUAUUAUACAGAGAAUGUGGCAUGGCAUUCAAUCGCAUGGCAUUAUAUACAAAAAGUUGCCUUUGCAGCCCGCAGGAAAUCCGUCACGCGACAAUGCAUCGUAACCGGUUGUGGUGGUUCAGGUUCACGAUCGGGCCCUGCAGGGCACGCGCGCGCAAACCCCAGUGGACGUAGACACGAAGUAAUUCACAUAGAGAUAAGAUAAGAAAAAACAUACCUGAAAUGUAAAUUUGUGGCUGUAGGCGGUAUCGUGAGUGCAUGCCUAUGGCGUGCGUGCGGCACCUUUUCACCUGUUGAAUGCGCAUGUCGUGUACACCGUUUUUGACCUGCUCUAUCCUCUGACCUCGCUCCCCAUUCCAUGCAGGUCGACCGCAUUGAAAUAUAUCCCCAAGAUUUCCUUGCCAAACCACCCGGCAGCCUCGGUGUCGGUAUCCUGGCGUUCCAGCAACCGCCCAGGAGAACGACUGAUGCGGAUUUGCUACCUCAAGAAAUUGUAACCAUCAUCGGGAAAGGCAGCAGCCUUCCAAAUUGGUUGCUCAAAGAUGAAUGGGAAGAUAAUAGCGACAAGAGGGAAUGUGAGGCUUGGGAUUUGGGAUGCUUCCGAAUCCGACCACCAUCGCCCCCAUCGCCACCGCCGCCGCCGCCGCCGCCAGAAGAACGGGAUCCGCCCUACACGGCAAUAGAUUGGCGGGACGGUCUCAACCCUGCUAUCCGCGUUUCAGCAGGUAUGGUGCACACUGGCAUACAUACAUACAUACUAUUACUAGGGAGGUGCAUGCGCUCAGUAGAAGGGGGGUGUACAGCCAACCGUUGUAACUGAAAAUUAUACGUUGGAAAGGUCUUCUUUUGUUCUUUGUAAAAAAUCUACUUAGGCAUAGGAUAGAGGAUCGCUGCAGUCCUCCAGAGCGUUUCUUAGCUCCAUGCCGGUGUGGGCGCACCCCAAACCCCAUGUCUCGUGGCGUAUUUUGGCACAUAAGAGAAGACCCAGUGAUCACAGGAAAGCACACGGACGUCACACCGUUGAAGUCCCUGCGCUACAAACCCCCGUAAGGCCUAAACACAGCUCAAUCCGGCAUCUCUCAGUCCUCGUUCUGCGUUUCAGGGAUGUACGGCACACCCUCAGGGGUCCACAACAGCAGCUGCGUGUUCCCCUGGGUGCCCUGCUUUUGCAUUUGCUUUUGCUGCUGCUGCUGUGCUUCCUGCUCCUCCUCGUCCUCUUCUCACUGCUGGCGAAUCAGCUCAACCUCAUCCGCCACUGCACUGUGGUUGCCCUGCGAACCCGCGUUGCCACGUAUAGAUCACCCGCCCUGGAGUUAUUCUUCUGCGUCUUUAGCUUCUUAAACAUAUCGUGCCGGGUGCGGGGGACGUCAGGGGGGACGUCGGCGCCAGGCUGCAAGCCUCUGAGCCUCUGGCUGCAAGCCUCUGAGCGCCUUGUCAUUCUUUACACUAGAGUCCCUUGACAUUAUUUAUCACAAACCAUGCAUUGAGGCUCCGAAACGCGAGUAUGGCCCUUCAAACUACAGCUUGAUCGCAGAUCUCUACUUGGUCCAACUAAUACUUCACACUAUCCAAGCUCACAUCUAGUAAUACAUAGUAUUGUUUUUACUAUGCUAGUUUACUAUGUACGGACACAGGACGAGCGCCGUAAACUAGUGCCACUGUCAAGCCCCGCAUAGUAUAAAGUACUAUUCCUAGUACUAUCUAGUAUAGCACUAUUUUCUAGUUUAGUACCCGUGCCAACCUACAUACAUACAUACAUACAUGCAUACAUACGUGCAUAAGGGUUAGGCACCACAGGUAAGGCGCGACCAUUGCCCCCGGGAGAUCCCGGGAUCGAUAUCCGUUCGGGUCAAAGACCUUCCGAUGGUGGAAGGCAUUGCGCCCCUAGUUGAUGGACGGUGGUGACCUGGGAUAAAGUUAACCUGCGAGCCGACCAGGAACGGAGUUGGGCCGCUGUCGACCCGGCAGAUUCCGUUGGAUGCUGGUGGUGGGUGCGGAACCUGAGCGAUCCACUGAGAAAUUGACUAGGGUGACUGGAUGAGGGUGCCCCGAAAUACAGGGGAAGGCAGGGUUUCGCAGGGUAGCUGCCACGGGCGAAGAUACACCCCCCUGUUUCACACAUCAUACAUGCAGUGUUUCGGCUUCGGCCCCCGGCUCUCGCGGCCCAUAGUGUAAUCUAAGUCAUACAUACAUACAUACAUACAUACAUGCGGCUCCAAGCACCCCCAACAGCACUCAGGCGAUGGCUAUGAUCCUAAAGCGGGUCGGAUGGCAGAUGCCGGGCGGCACAACAACCGUCCCACUCACACGCCUGACGGUCCGCCUAGCGACACAGCUGCAAUGCGGGGCCACCGAGGAGAAACGGGGACGCUUGAUGGCAGCAUUUGUGCAAGAAGCGUUGCACCCGCAGGAAACGACACCUUCCUCCUCAGCGGAAACAAGCCGCUUCAGGGCGACGCAAGCCCGCUUGUGGUCGGGGGUGCGGUGGGAGAACGAGAACAAAGAAACGCUGUGGCGGCUCGCCGUGGACGGCAUCCCCCUGCCCGGCAACACGCACCUGGCCCGCAUGGUGCCGGAGCGCUGUGGGUGUGGAGGGUUCGGCAACGCCAGCAACCAGCACUGCUCCCCACGCAUGCACCACUUCUGGGAGUGCCCCGUCGCACAAGCUGUCCGGGAGCAGAUUGAUCGACACAUACAGCCCUCCCAGGAGGCAGCGACAGGCGGCAUCACCCGGAAGCAGCUGUGGCUGGUCCAAGCCCCGACCGGCUGCGAGCAGGCCCCCUGGGAUGUGAUNNNNNNNNNNNNNNNNNNNNNNNNNNNNNNNNNNNNNNNNNNNNNNNNNNGACUCAUUGUUUGAGCGUAGUUAUGGUUAUCUAAUUAGCCUGAAAAUGUCGCAGAGGCGACCAGCAGUGGCUGUUAGCCGCGGCAAUGUUCAAAAUGGCCGCCAGCCGACCUCAGCCGCGAGACCGCAAUCCAUACCGACCAAAAAGAUAAAGGCCGUCAGUGGCUUUUACGGAACAAAUGAAGGCUUGGCUUUCUACAGAGCCACACUAGAACUGGAACCGAUCGUGGUGACAGUCCGGUGGCCAGCGGGCUCAGAUACGGGCGACAUCAUCGCGCAAAUAUACGGUCCAUUAGGACUUCAAAUUCUGGCAACAAUUGGCCAAAUCUUCCGCAGCAACCAGGAGUUCAACCGCUGGGGAGGCCCUCGCAUUCAAAAACGGUUGCUUUAUCCGAUGGGAAGGGAACGGCACAUUGUGAUGGAACUCUCCAUCCUUGUGCCAAAAGGAGGUUUAGCAGCGUUGACAGCGACCAGGCGCAUCGUUAACGGGCGAUUGCGCGUGCCUGGGGUGCAAUUGACCCCGAACAUGGAGCCGAUGGAAGUGGAGCUGCUGGUGAAGAACCAGCAACAGGCUAAGCCCAUUGUGUGGGAGGUGAGAGGCGUCCCGGUCGGCCUCAGCUGUCAGGGCACGGCCGACUUCCUCACCCGGGCAUACCGGGCAGACCCCAGUCCCCAGGACGUGACGGAAUUCUCGCUCCUGGCCCCCACGACGAUGGCCGACACGUGGAGGCUGGAGCUUACCAGCAAUCGCGGCCUUCCGCGAGAACUCCCGUUUGAAUACGGGGAGCCAUCGGAGGCGUGCCACCAGAAGGGCACCCUUCAAGCGAUCAGGAAGACCCCCCUGGAAGGGGAACCUUUCCUGAUGCCCCAGCCACCCCCGCGAGCAGCACUCGCCCAGCAGCAAAGGGGAGACGGGGCGGCAACAAGCACCCGCCCAGGCCACAGUGGGCAGGUGACGGGAGUACAGGGGCGACUGACCAGAUUCUUGAGCCCGAUGGAUUUCGAUGCCAUCCAGAGAGACAGGGGUCACUGCUCUGGCGCAGCAGAGGGGGGGCCUGCAGGAGUUAACCCUCUGGGACCCCCCAGCGGCCCCAAGCCCAGAAGGGCGGUGGAUGAUGGCAGCGGGCUGAAUGGAGUGAGGNGGGGCAAGGGGGACAACAGCGGCAGUGGCCCCUCUAUCCCACCCCAGGGCAGUAGUGAAGGUGAUGCUGAGACGAGCUGGACAGUGAUGGGCAGGAAGGGGAGGNNNNNNNNNNNNNNNNNNNNNNNNNNNNNNNNNNNNNNNNNNNNNNNNNNCCUCCCCAGCCCGGGAAGACUCGUCGGGCUCCCGGUCGCCCAAGUCCUGGUAGCGAGCUCUCUGAGAUGCUCGGUUCGUUCGGUCGGCAGGAAGAGCCCCCCAGUUGCGACUUCGUUUAUGUUAGGAGACCAACGGGCAUAGAUCCCGUCUAGUUGGAGCGCCAAACAAGCGCUGUUGCGUGCCGGCCGUCGUUUCCCGUGCGGCCUGACCCGGGGGCGGAGUGCAUGAGACUAACCAGCCGUAUGCACCCGCCCCCCGCGCUGUGCUUCGGCCCUGGGCCCCCGGCUUUUCAGCCCACAGUGUAAUCAACGUCAUCAUACAUACAUACAUACAUACAUACAUACAUACAUACAUACAUACAUACAUACAUACAUACAUACAUACAUACAUACAUACAUACAUACAUACAUACAUACAUACAUACAUACAUACAUACAUACAUACAUACAUACAUACAUACAUACAUACAUACAUACAUACAUACAUACAUACAUACAUACAUACAUACAUACAUACAUACAUACAUACAUACAUACAUACAUACAUACAUACAUACAUACAUACAUACAUACAUACAUACAUACAUACAUACAUGGAUGAGACCAAGCUUGACUAAGCUGCUACUAUGACCGUCGGCCAACCGCGGCCGUGGCCACCGACAGCGACCUCUAUUGUUUGAGCGUAGCUAUGGUAUCUAAUUAGCCUGAAAAUGUCGCAGAGGCGACCAGCAGUGGCUGUUAGCCGCGGCAAUGUUCAAAAUGGCCGCCAGCCGACCUCAGCCGCGAGACCGCAAUCCAUACCGACCAAAAAGAUAAAGGCCGUCAGUGGCUUUUACGGAACAAAUGAAGGCUUGGCUAUCUACAGAGCCACACUAGAACUGGAACCGAUCGUGGUGACAGUCCGGUGGCCAGCGGGCUCAGAUACGGGCGACAUCAUCGCGCAAAUAUACGGUCCAUUAGGACUUCAAAUUCUGGCAACAAUUGGCCAAAUCUUCCGCAGCAACCAGGAGUUCAACCGUUGGGGAGGCCCGCGCAUUCAAAAACGGUUGCUUUAUCCGAUGGGAAGGGAACGGCACAUUGUGAUGGAACUCUCCAUCCUUGUGCCAAAAGGAGGUUUAGCAGCGUUGACAGCGGCCAGGCGCAUCGUUAACGGGCGAUUGCGCGUGCCUGGGGUGCAAUUGACCCCGAACAGGNNNNNNNNNNNNNNNNNNNNNNNNNNNNNNNNNNNNNNNNNNNNNNNNNNUCACUGCUCUGGCGCAGCAGAGGGGGGGCCUGCAGGAGUUAACCCUCUGGGACCCCCCAGCGGCCCCAAGCCCAGAAGGGCGGUGGAUGAUGGCAGCGGACUGAAUGGAGUGAGGGGGGGCAAGGGGGACAACAGCGGCAGUGGCCCCUCUAUCCCACCCCAGGGCAGUAGUGAAGGUGAUGCUGAGACGAGCUGGACAGUGAUGGGCAGGAAGGGGAGGAAGACCCCGGCGACGGCUGCAAAGGCUGCACCAGCAGAGACCAACCCCUUUUUGGUGCUGGCGGAGCUGAGGGGAGAGGAGGACGCCCCCACAGAUGUUCCUGCUCCAAUGGGGGGGAAUACACCUAUGGCCACACAACAACCGGGGGAUCCAGCAGCAGCAACAACAUCCCCCGCAGCGAACCCCAAUGGGAUUUCUUCCACACCCACGGCCACGGCCGUGGAAGGAGCACCGGCGGCAGCAGCACUGCCGGGGGCACCAGAAGCAGCAGCACUGGACCCAACCCCACCCCCCACAGUGAACCCCAAUGGGAUUUCAUCCGCACCCACGGCCACGGCCGUGGAAGGAGCGCCGGCGGCAGCAGCACUGCCGGGGGCACCAGAAGCAGCGGCACUGGACCCAACCCCACCCCCCACAGCGAACCCCAAUGGGAUUUCAUCCGCACCCACGGCCACGGCCGUGGAAGGAGCGCCGGCGACAGCAGCACUGCCGGGGGCACCAGAAGCAGUAGUACUGGACCUAACCCCACCCUCAGCGGCACCGGACCUCCACAAGGGGAAAGCAUGCAAGCCCCGCCAGACCCAAGGAAUAAAGAAAAUCCGCAGGCCAGACCUGACGGGGGAAGCCAGGCGCACGUUCUUUCUGGCGCAAACAGCUGCAGCCCGAGCAGCCCGCAAACAAUCCGCAGAACUGGCCCAGCGAACUAAGGACCAGAAGCGGCUGAUCCAGAAAACGUCGGCAGCGGAGAGGCGCAGCGAGCUUAUCCAGUCUACCCGUAAGCAGAAGGCGAAAGAUGCCGAAGCCACCCAGGGGACCCAGGCCUCGGGGAGGGAGCUGGGGACUGCUGCUGCGGAGGGGGACGACACGAUUAUGGAGGCGGAAUCGAUGGGCUCCCCAUCCCAGAGCCUAAUGUUACACUUCCCCACCGCCUCCCAACCUGGUUUUAAAGACCAGCCCACUGCCACCCCCACCCAACUCUGUUGAUGGAAGCGACGACCACAAUCAAGCGCCAACAGGGCGCAAUGCAGGGACGGCCACUUCGUAUUGCAACACAGAACAUGCAGGGUCUGCUGGCCAAACACAAGGACAAGAUUCAUGCAGCGGCCAAACAGUGGAUAGAGAUGGGGCUGGAUGUGAUCUGCCUGCAGGAAACCCACCACACCAAUGCCCACCACCAAUCCCUGUUUGAACGCGAGCUAAGCAUGGCAGCUGCAACAGCCCACAGCCGGGGCUGGCGAGUAGUGGCCAGCUCGUGGUCUAACUCCAUCCACACGGGGGGCGUCCUUACCCUCGUCCGACAAGGCCUAACAGCUACCGUGGAGACCAAGCCUAAUAAGUCGAGUGUACAGGGUCGGCUGACGAGCUGCCUGCUUCGCUGGGGAGGACACUGCAUUGAGGUCUGCAACAUCUAUGUCCCCACCGGCACUACUCAUAGAGCAGCAGCCCUCAGGCAAGAACUGAUCAGCAACAUCCUGGCAGCAACGGCCACGCAGGCAGAUACAAACAAUGACACCACCCUUAUAUGGGCGGGGGACUUCAACUUUGUCGAAAACCCAGCGCUGGACUCCACAGCGGGGGAGGAUGGGCGGAGGGGAGAUGGCCCCAUAGCAGAAAUGCUCCGCACAGCUGGGCCAGCCAUGAUGGAUAGUCACCGUCAGCUUCAUCCCCUGCGCCAUGACUACACCCACCUCUACCGAGCGCCCCGCCCAGGAGGCUCCCGACUGGAUCGCAUUUAUGUGAAUCAAGCCGUGAUGCCGUAUGUUGCUCGCACGGAGAUUAUCCAGCACACCCCGUCAGAUCACCAGCCGAUGGUCCUACACCUGCUGCCUCGCCGGGUUGAACAGAGGGGCCCGGGCAUUCGCCGGGUGCGCAUGGCCUUCACGGCGCAUGAAGACCUGGCCACGAGCCUGGAGGCCUGGAUUACCGACCAGUGUGCUGCGGCCCCAUCUGUGGAGGACAAUCCUGCUGGCCUGAUCGAGUGGUGGCCUGCCUUCAAACGCCGCCUCGCUACUCGUGCACAUCAGCUCAACAAAACAGCGCAACAUCGCAGGCUGCGCCCAGGAGCCCGUGUACAAGCAGCCCUACCAGCAGUCCAGCAGGCCCGACAAAGGGUCGACACAGAGCCCGGAGCACAGCAGCCCUUACAGCAACUGGUGGACGCACAGGCGGCACUAGCACGGGCCCACCGAGAGGACUGCAGCAAGGAGGCGAUGGAGGCCCGCAUACACUGGCUACGGGCAGGGGAGCGGCCGAGCCCAGCCAUGACUGCGUUCAUCCAGGCCCAAAGCGCGGACCAACAACCAGCUCCCGUCGCCCUGCAAGCCCAGUCCGGCCGCCUAGUGACUAAUCCUAGCCAGCUUCCCCAGGUGGUCGCAGACUUCUGGAGUGAAGUGAGCUGAGCUCCCAACUACAUCUGCCCCCAAGCCCAGCAGGAGGUGCUAAACUCCCUGGCGGCCGCCAACAUGUCGCUACCCGCAGAGGCAGAUGAACAGCUGGGAUCCAGAACCAUCACGGCCACCGAGUUACGAAAGGCUCUUAAGAAAAGCCAGCCUGGCAAGGCCCCGGGGUGGGACGGCAUCCCAGCCGACAUCUACAGGAAAUUCUGGUCGGCCAUUGGCACCACCAUGGCUGGCCUGCUCACCGCCAUAGGCUUGACGGGGCAGGUGCCGAAGGGCUUCUUGGAGGGGGUACUGACGGUGAUCUACAAAAAAGGCGACCCCAAACUCCCUGGCAACUACCGUCCUAUCACCCUGCUUUGCUCGGACUACCGACUGCUCACCAAAGUGCUGGCAAACCGCCUAGGCCCUGCCCUUGGCCAAGUCAUAACCCCCGAGCAAUCAGCCUUCCUACCCAGGCGCCUUAUUGGAGCCAGUGUGCUAUUCCUGCGUCACCUGUCACACCUCCUUCGCAAGCAGAACCGCCGGGGGCUCCUGGCAUUCCUGGACUUCGCCAAGGCCUAUGACACGGUGGAUCGUGGGUUCCUCCUGGCAGCAAUGGAGACCAUGGGUGCAGGGCCACAGCUCUGCGCCUGGGUACGACUGCUGCUGAGCGAAACGCGAGCCCGAGCGAUGGUGAAUGGCUACAAAUCGAAGCUGGUGAACAUGGAAGCAGGGGUACGGCAAGGGUGCCCCCUCGCACCCUUGCUCUACCUCUUCGUUGCUCAGGCCCUACAAUGCUGGCUCCGGAGCCAAGACGUGGGGAUCAAAUUACAGCCGGCCGACUCACAACCAGUCACCGCGUGCCAAUAUGCGGAUGACACGGAAGUGGCGCUGCAGGGUGAAGACUCAGUACCAUCGUUCCUCCAGGCCAUGGACACCUUUGCCCGGGCAUCUGGCCAACGCCUAAAUCUCGACAAAGUGGAGCUGCUGUGGAUUGGCCAAUUAAACCAACAGCAGGCGCAACCUGCUCCCGGAGUGUCCGAAUCCAAAUCCGCCUGCCAACUCCUCGGGUGUUUGAGGAGUGUUGAAAUGGGAGGUGGCCGCCCAUCUUAUGGACGGUGUAGGACGUGAUAACAUCAACUUGCGAGCUGACCAGGAACUAAGUUGAGGCGCCGUUGAUCCGCUAGAUUUGGUUGGAUGCUAGCGGUGAGUUGCGGAACCCAACGAAUACAUUCUGAAAUCGGACGGGGUGAAUGGAUUAGGGCGCCCCUCUCGCAGGGAAGAGCAGGGACUGCCUCGGGAAAGGGGGCCGCUGGUGAAGCUUAACCACCCUGUAACAACAUUCAUACAUGAGGCUUGGGGGUAAAAGAGGGCUUGGGUUAUUUCGGGGGUAGGUCGAGGGGUUAGGUUGAGGGGGGAGGUGGGGGGUGUGGGGGAGUAGGGAUGGGGGGCGGAGGUUUGUCGCAGGGCGGCGGGGAGGGAGGGGUUACGGGUCCUAGGGAGCUGUGCCGGCGAGUCGGUGAGACAGAAGCGGGGGGAGCGAGAAAGGUAGAAGGGUGGGGUGAGGAGGAGGGAGGUAGAAGGGUGGGGUGAGGAGGAGGGAGGUAGAAGGGUGGGGUGAGGAGGAGGGGGAGGGAGAGGUGAGGGGAGAGCACCAAGAGGAUGUAAGGUUGAGGAGUGGUUGGAGUCAGCAGGCGGCUGUAGUGAGGGCGCGCAUGAGUGGGAGGUUGGUGCCCACUCAGGUUCUCGUUGGUGCCCACGAGGGGCCGUACUUCUAGGUCCGCGCGUGCUGCAGGGCUGCUGGGUUCUCUCGGGGUACGAGGCUAGGGGUUCUCGUGUUGCUGGACGUGGUGAGUAAGGGAGGGCCUUGAGCGCCAGCCGUCUUGGUAGAGCGGUAAGGGGGGGCCGCCGAGCUGGCUACCCGUCCCCCCUGCGAUGUUUUCAGAGGCCUGGUCGCCGGGUGUCGUGGCAGGAUCUCCCUGUUCGCGCACUUUUCGAGGUGGCCCCAACGCUAUAUAGGGGGAUGGAUACGUGCGGUUAAUACCUCCCCCUCUGCGGUUAAUACCUCCCCCUCUGCGGUUAAUACCUCCCCCUCUGCGGUUAAUACCUCCCCCUCUGCGGUUAAUACCUCCCCUGGACGAGCCCAGGGAGGGAACGGCGGGGUUGGGAAGUGGUCUCGGGAGGCUGCUUGGCGUCUUUGUGCUCUUUUUGCGCUCUUUCUGUUUGAGGCUUUUUUGAGCUUGGUGGCCUCCCCAGCCCGGGAUGACUCGUCGGGCUCCCGGUCACCCUGGUCCUGAACGCGUUCUCUUUGAGUUUUUUCUGCACAUUCUGCCCGUAGGAAAAACUCCCUGGGUGCGACUUCGUUUUUGUUAGGUGGCCAGCGGACCUAGAGCACGUUUAGCUGUAGCGCUACCCCCCGGUGAGGAACGCUGCUUAGUGCCGGCCGUCGUACCUCUCGCGCGGUCUGACCCGGGGGCGGAAUGCAAGCUGACCCGGGGGCCGACAGAGAUAUGACUGCAAUUGAUUUAUUACGCCUGGGUAUGUACGCUUGGCAGGGAGGCCCUAUUCACCCUGAGUGAGCAGCAAAGGGCACACCCAAGCGUUGGAGACCUAGUCUCUCACAUGGCGACUGUAAAGUAACAAUCAAUCUUGCUACUCGCUGGUGGCGAUGAUCAUGGCCUACGUACCUAACCGAAACGCCGGAAUCCCACUGCGACAACCCGAUGGUGCUUACACGCAUACAAUACUAGCUCCAUGCAUGCGAGCACGCACCCCUAGCCCUUAUGGGGCAACCAGUAAAUUAAUUCGCUGCUGGUUACGUAGUCUAUCUCCAUCUGCCAAGCUAAUGCUAUGUGCAUACAUACACCACUAAGUCAUACAUACAUACAUACAUACAUACAUACAUACAUACAUACAUACAUACAUACAUACAUACAUACAUACAUACAUACAUACAUACAUACAUACAUACAUACAUACAUACAUACAUACAUACAUACAUACAUACAUACAUACAUACAUACAUACAUACAUACAUACAUACAUACAUACAUACAUACAUACAUACAUACAUACAUACAACGGGCAUAGAUCCCGUCUAGUUGGAGCGCCAAACAAGCGCUGUUGCGUGCCGGCCGUCGUUUCCCGUGCGGCCUGACCCGGGGGCGGAGUGCAUGAGACUAACCAGCCGUAUGCACCCGCCCCCCGCGCUGUGCUUCGGCCCUGGGCCCCCGGCUUUUCAGCCCACAGUGUAAUCAACGUCAUACAUAGGUCAGGCACUACUGGUAAGGCACGGACCAUUGUCUCCCGGGAUCGAGACCUAUCAGGGUUGAAAUCCUUCCGAUGGUGGAAGGUUAAAUGCCCCUAGUUGAUAGACGGUGGUGACCUGGAAUGGAGGUGGGCCGCCGUCGAUCCGGCAGAUUCCGUUGGAUGCUGUUGAUGGAUGCGGAACCUGAGCGACCCACUGAGAAGUUGACUAGGUUGACUGGAUGAGGGUGCCCCGAAUUACCAGGGAAGGCAGGGUUUUGCCGAGUAGCGGGUGAAGAUAUGGCCCCCUGUCCCACACAUCACACAUACGCUGCUGCCCCGCCACCCACCCACACAGGUCAAAGUUUGACGAUGAAAUCCCUGGUCUGGUACUUAGUUGGCUAUGACAACAGAGCCAGCUACCCAAACGUCGAUGCGUUGUCGUAUUUGGAUUUCAAGAACGUAUUGGUGGAACCGCAAGGAACCAUGUGGAUUGAAGAUGUGACUAUGGUGCUAGGGAAGGACGUUUUUUCCUUAUUCCUGACCACCAUCUGCACCAACCAUGACGCCUGGCCAUACAAUGCCGGCGUGACUGUGGAAGACGGCGUCAUGCACAUCCGAAACUUGACUUCCCGGACGCUCUGGCAGGGGGAAACAGGGGCAGGCGGGGAGGCGCACUGGCGCAAUAUAACGUUGACAUGUCCAGGGGUCCUUGGCGGCGGCCUGCAGGAGAAGCCACGGCCCUGCGUGGCCAAGGCAGCGUCGAACUGGAAGGAGUUAUAUGCCGCGUCUCUUAAGGCUCUACUUGACGAGGCCGCGGACACAGUGAUUCUGUCCAUUACUGCUGACGUGGCGCUGCCGACGGACGGCAGCUGGGAGCAGGUAAGCGGUCGUCUUCUACUUUUUUAUGCUCUGUAGAUGAUAACCUGCUAUGACAGAUAGGACCAUGGCAGACGACAUAGAAACUUGAUAAAAACGUCACCCCUUAUUCCUACGUCAACGCUUGGACAGCAGAUCUCCUUGGGGUUCCUCUUCCUUGGUUGGCAUUGCACCUUGAUCACACGCACGUCAUUUUGGCAUUUUGCAGUGGAUGUUGUGAUUCAGUCACUCGAGGUGCCUGUAAUACCCCGCUGCAACAGCAGUAAUAACCGUGAUCGUGUUGGGCUAUGUCAAAUUGUUACAUAUUUAUUGCAGAUAAAAGGCGAAACCUCAAAAAUCUACAUUUUAAUGAGAUCCGUGUUGUACUCACACAAGAGAGAGUGUGUGUAUGUAUGUGUGUGUGUGUGUUAUACAUGGGCGUGGGGUGCGUUCCCCGUACCUGUGUGUGAGAACGUCAUCACGGCCUUGGCUCUGACCCAAGGCGUGUGUGUGUGUGUGUGUGUGUGUUCAAGAUAUUAUAUACCAAUGCAAUCUAACAUAGAACACCCUUGAUUAUCCAUCCGCGAGUGCAGGUGCCUAUAAACCCAAACCGGCAGCACCUUACACUCCUGGGCGACCCCAGCAGACGCACAACCCUAGACCUCGCUCAAGUCACGGACGUAUGGGGCAUUGUGGCGCCGCCGUUCAGUGGCGGCGAUCGUAACGCCAACAUUACGAAACCCCCACCAGGCGGCCAGCCCGUGAUAUUGCUGUACAACCUCACCCUCGUCAACAUGCCGCACGUGACAUGGCCUCACGGGCCCAUGAGCCUGAUGGCUGCGUCGUUGCCUUGCUUCGCAAUUGCAAGGUUGGUUGGUCAUCAACAUGUCCGUAUAUAUUUAGCAUUACUUCUUUCUCCUAAAGCAUCGCACUGGGGCGUCUGACUGGAAUUAUGUACGAACGGCGGCGGCAGCGGAUGCAGGAACGGUAGUCACACACGGCUUACAGGUAAAGGCCUGAAGCAGCAGGGCCUGGGUUGACGGGUCAGAUGCCUUCUCACAUCGCUGCUGCGGUGCCGCCAAUCUCCCUUUUGUCCGCAGGGGGAUGCCUUUGCAAUCAGGCGAUACACUGUAUCAGCAGAUCAGAGCUAUCCACAGUACGGUUGUCGUAUCGGAUGCGGAGCUGGAAUUCUUCCUAAAGCUACCGACAGUAGGCAACGGCAGCACUGUCUGGCCUGCGCAGCCCCAUCCCGGUGCCUUCAACAUCGUGCUGAAGGUGAUUGCGAUACGGGAAAUGCGAAGAAGGGCGAACGGAAAGCAGGGGAUGGGGAUGGGAGGAGAUUAAACCAGCAGACGACUGAUGGAUAGAUAGGUUGAUGCAGCACCUAGCUCUCCAGGCGACAGAUAGCAGCACGCGGACGGGUAAUUGAUAGCUGCAUUACGUGCCAGCUUGUACGCCUUGUCUGGCGUUUGCUUGUCCCUCUGCUGCGCUUGAUCGGAGUCAUGCACUGCGAUCAAACCAGGUUGUUUUUUGCCCUACACUUGGCCGGCUGCCUUUCAAACCGAAUUUCGCAAUUUGCCUCCGCUCGCAAGCAUUCCUCUCUCUGAUGUAUGCAUCUCUACCGAACUGUCCUUUGGCAACAUGCAAAUACGCACGGGGAGAUGUAUCUAUGUCUUUCAUUGGGGGCAGGAGGGGGACUACAUCCUCGCAGGACCUAGUUAGGCAACGGAGAUAUAGCAUCCAAGCGCACGAGCUGUUGCCACCUUGCCAGCUUAUCACCUCCGUCUUUGGAGUGUUGGUCGUUGUAGUAAGCGGCUGCAAAGCCACAUGUAACUGUACAGUUGAUCCGUGAUUUGUACACAGCCUUGUUGUGAGUCAGUAUAUAUCGGUCCACUGUCCACACACACACACACAUUAUACAUGACAUAGCAACCAAACGCAACGUUUGCUUUCCUUCAUGCAUUUGCAGGAGGACACGAGGAACGACAUGUUACCAGCAGGGCUGACACCCCAGCAGGGCCUGCUGCCUUUGAGUCGACUUACCCUGGCGUCCGAGGUGAUAAAUGGGUAUUUGCACGAGGUUGCAGCAUGCAUGCUACGUGCCUGGACAGGGGCGGGGUUCGCCAUGCACGAAUGCAUUUGAAGCCAGGCGCAUGUUGCAUGUACGUACGUACGUAUGUAUGUGCACGCGCCUGCCUGAGAAUGGUGCGUUGUAUCCGGCGCUCCGUCUCCCCACCACACGAACACGUCCCGUCUGUUGCGCGUCCGUUAUACACCUAUCCUUGUAUAACCCAUUCUUGCGUUUCCCUGCCGCUGCGUCUCCCUGCACAUUCACCUACGCGCUUCUGUAGUAUCCUGGGUACAUCACGGGAUCUGCAUCCGCCGAUCGGCUAUCUGAAGUCGUGGUAAACAGUUCCCCCCUGCCCCCGCGUUUCCCUGCCCCCGCGUUUCCCUGCCUGCUGUGCCAUCGACCCGCUCCGCCCAGCCCGCUUGCUUAUCUCUUCACAAAUGACCCCGACUUGUCACAGGACGGCACGGUGUCUUCCUCCCACCGCUACCCGUUUAGGUGCUUCUGACCGACUGCGAGCUCGUGUCCGCGAGCCGUUACCAGCAGCUUCCAGGUGCCGUACAGCUACUACCACAGUCGCGAAUCUGGCUGCCGCAGAUUAUUGAGGAUCGAGAUCCCGCCACAGUUGCACAGUGGGUGCGUGUUUCGGUGUCCGGUGCUCGUCAUUGUGCUUCUAUGGGUGAGGCUAGGUGGUUGGGUAGUAAUGCACGGCGGCUGUCGAUCUAUGAUGAUGAUUCAUCCAGCUCAGGAAACCAUCGCAGAAUUUUGACGUGUUGUCAAACUUCUAUAGGGCACGACCUAUAGGCCGUAUUUGGUUUUGGUUUUGGUUUUGGUUUUGCAGACGUUAGGGUCUAGUGGGGUUUGUUUCGUUUUGGCUGUCGCCUUGUUUUUAAGGUUGCGUUGGUUGUGUGAAAGCAAUUUGCAACAGGUACAUGGACAGCAUCAUGACAGCAGAACACAUCCGUAUCUGCCUUCCUUUGCAUUCCACAUAACUGUUGAAUCACUGACUGUGCCCCGAGCUCGUGGGGAUGUGCAUAUGUGUGUGUAUAUGUGUGUGUAUAUGUGUGUGUUACCUAUGGCCGAUGGUGCGUAAACUUAGUACCUGCGAAACGCGUACCAUCCCGGGGCUCCGGUUCGGCUUCCCAAUGCCUGCCAAGAGACCCGUAGUAUAACUACAAAUCGCAGCUGCCGCUGCUGCUGCUGCCGUUGCCGCCUUCAGACCAGCUCGCGCCGUUUGUCCCCCAACUGUCCUCUUGAAGGGUCCCGCAGGUUUGGCGGUGUUCCCGGGGCUACAGCAGGCGCUUGCUGACCUGGCCUCCUGCGACUCGCGACCCGGAUACAACCCCCUGCGGCUAAUUUGGAGGUGUGUGCGCCUGUGGGUAUAUGGGUAUAUGCUUGCAAUCGAUCAAGAAAAUCUGCAUAAUUUCCAGGACUGUGCCCUAGGGCCAUCUCUUUGGCCUAUCUAUUACACCAGGGCACGAUCCAUAGACCUGUAGUAGCUGGCCGCUGGGAAGACUUCUCAAGCAAGGCGAUGGCAGAGGGCGCUUAUUUCUAGACGACGUAUGUGCCGUACAAAAUACAAUGCAUGUGUCGUAAAAAAAUAUGUUUUCUAGGCGAUGUAUGUGUCGUAAAUAAAAUACGACCAAAAGCUGAAAGUUCCAAAGGAAAAGAAGGAAAAAUAAAAAAAUAUUUUUUACAGAGGUAUUCCUGCUAAGUAAGAUAUAGCCACGCUGAUUUCGUAACCCCCCCGUCUCCUCGCCCGCGCAGCUCAGCUCUUUUGGCUUUCCCUCCGACACGCAGCUCUUCCCUUUUUAUUUCUCCAGGCACCAUGAUAUGACCAUCCCGCCAUUGAACUCCAAGGACUACUACUUCACGUCGGUCAUCACUCUUUCCCGGAGUGACAACGACGCGGCUCUGGCGGAAACUUGUGUCGUCGAUGGAGGCACACACCAGAUCCCGGACCUCACGAACAGCUUCAGCCACCCUGCCAGCAGCAACAGCGAUAGCGACGUGGCCGAGGUGCAGCUGCCAAAAGGCGAUGCACGCGUGUUUGCAGACCUGCAGGUAGGUUUUAUGAAUCGAUGGUCCAUGUACAAAACGUAUGCCACAUGCGUACGGCGGGGUUGGCGACGGGAAGGGGGCACCGGCGGGCGCAGGGGAACAGGGACUCUACAGCAGCAGAGAGAACGGAGAACGGCCUUGCUCGCACGUGGUUUAGCGGUGGAUGCAGUGGUAUAUAGAUAGAUGUGGCUAGCUCUGUGGUGUAUGCGUGUUUUAUGUAGGCCGCGUGCGUGUACAUAUUUUCUCAUAUUUGUGAGUGCAUAAGUACGUGGGAGUUGGACACAUGAGCAGCCAGGCAUAAUAAAUGGGUCGUCAUGCAUAUUCACCUAGGUUAGGAGAAAAACAGCUACAGCUUACAGCGGCUUUCACUACGCACCGGCUUAGGCUGCGUCUCAGUCACCAUUGCUAACUAUUGAUAUCACCAAGGCAUCAAUAGGUUGCGGAAUCGAAGCAAUAAGUGUCUGGCCCAGGUUGAGCCUUAUAGGUGACAACCGGCGUGCCUUAACAAGGCUUUAUUAUUGCUUUCCCUGCCGGCUGACCGGCCCCCCAUUACCCGCCCUGCACCUUGCAGGGUGCCAUCGGUCGCUUCUCCCUCGUCCGGCCCAUCACGCUCCGAAACCUUGUUCUCUAUAAUCUGGCACCGGGAGGGGUCUACCCGAUCGACAAGCCCGUCGAUCUGCCCAGCGGAGAGGCGUCUGCCAGACGGCCAUUGCUGCACUGGUCAGAUGCCGCCUGGGCUAACAGCUCCCUGCCCUUGUGGUUUUUCAGCUACACCAGGUGCGAUAUGCGUAUUUAUAUAUAGCUAUUUUGGGGCCGCCCUGCGGUACGUGGAGCUGGACACAGGAGCCCCCUGCUGAUCUGUAUGUAUGUAUGUCGUUACAGGGUGGUUAAGCCUCACCAGCGGCCCCCUACGUGUAUGAACAGCUGCGUGCAUCAUCUGAGCAUGCACGUAUGUCGGGGGCCGCUGCGGGUGUAUGUGUUGCAAGCAUGGUUUGGAUUAUAUUGGUUGACAGAUUACCCGUUGCAUGCUUACCUGUCGUGCGUGAUACCUGCGUACUGAGACUAACCGGUGUUUUUUGGCACAUAAUGAUGAGGGGUGUGUGCCUGCAGUCGAAAACGUUUACAUAUCGGGCUAUCGAAAGCGGCAACGGCUGUGGCAGAAACAAUUACAGUGACAGCAGGAAACGGUUUCAAAGGCUAGGGCCGCACGAACUGCGAUUGCGCCUUAAAGGUCCGCCUGGUUGGUGAUUUGUGCGUUGAUUGGUGCUGGGGGGUGUCGGUUGGUCUCACCGUAUCCCACUGCGUAGCUGGUGUUUUUGACCGCCUGCGGGCAACUCCCCGACUUAUGAUUUUCGUGUUUUUUACACGGGUUGUAUGCGUGUAUGCCGUCAUAUCUCAACAGGUCUGACCGAGCAAACGGGCCUCUCGUUCUCGAGAACGUGACCUUGGUGGUUCCGGAGCGCGAGUGGCGGGCGUUUGUGGCGGUUGUGCUGCAGAAGCAUGCAUGGGCAGCCACCGUAUCGACGCAGCCGUCGCCGCAAUCUCCAGGGGACCAGCAAUGGCCGCAGCCACAGUCCCCGCCGCCAUCAUCGUUCCGAUCGGAGGAUAACUUGCUGGUGGACCAUCCGGCAAUCAGACCUCCUUCCGCUGUAAGGAGGUCACAGCUGGCAGACGAUGGUACAGGUGCACGUAAUGGUGAUGUGGGAGAUGGCGGGACGUCAGGUACCCCGCUCGCCUCCACGUAUCCAUCCCCGGCAAUGGCGCUGCCGGAGGCACCCAAUUUCUUUUCGGUCGAUUAUCCAGAUUUUCCAGAUCUUCCACCCCGUGCACCCCCGGACGCUCCACCAUAUCUGCCAACUCCACCGCCGCCGCCGCCCCCGAGUCCGCCAUUGCCGCCCUGGCCGCCGCCGUCGCCCCCCUAUGCUGCAAUAACCGAAGAGAUGCUCCUUGACUUUGCUGCCACGUCCCUGGUGGGUUCGCAAGGUAUCGGUGGUGGAAGCCGUCCCUUACUAAGCAGCGGCGGGACAUAAAUAGGCCACGAAAGGGUAGCUGGAGAGUGCGUUUAUUGUAGCCGAUUAAUUUUAGCUUUAGGUUAACUGAAGCUGGUUCAUCGUAGCUGACUGAAGUUUUUACGCAUCAUCGUCAUCACCAUCAUCGUCAUCGUCAUCGUCAUCAUCAUCACACGUGUUCCUCCUGUUCUUCAUGCUGCUGCUACAGCCCUCGUACUACAAUUACAGUUCGGGCCAGCUGGUUCUGGCGGCUGCUCGCCAUUACGGCUGGAGCGGAACCAAUGUAACGCUCACAUACAAGCUGCCCGAGGAUGCGCCGGAGGGCACCAAGCUGCUGCCGUACAGCGAGCUCCUCCUGCCGUACGAUUGGCUCGCCGGUACGUAUUUUUUUUGUGCGUGGACCUACAUGUACGACACACGCACAUGGAACGGCCGAGGCUUUGGUUGAUGCCUCGGACGUGGUAUUCAUUAACAAGCACGCUUGGCAUACUCUCGGCCACGGAGUGAGAUCCCCUGAUUCACAGGAAGAGCAGCAGCGGGGCCCCGUCGGGUCGCCCUUCGCCAUGCAUGCAUACAUCUACUUUACUGAUGUGAAUGCGAGAUUGUCCGCUCACCUGAAACCUCUCACUUCCCUUCGCCGGUCGUCUAAAUGCACCACCUCACCACCUACCCGAGUAUCCAUACCGCCGUGUGUUUGUGCAACGCAUCUGCCUGCAGAGGAGGACAUCGACGUGCCAGUCAACUUCGAUAACAUUGCCGGUGACAUUAUCCGAUAUGUGGUCGACGUGCCGUUAAAUCUUUUUAACGAAACUACGCAGCCACCCAGGGCUCCCGAUUCGCCGAGUCCUCACGGUGAUGGCAUGAACCAGCCUUCCAUUUCCAAACCGCCGGCCCCAGUGGGCCCCAUCAUGAUACAGAGCCAACCCUUCUCGCCCUCUGCCUCCUCAACUAGAACGGCUCCCACACCGCUCCAGCAGACUUCAGGCCGCACACCGUCCUUCGCCUCUUACGUGCCUGCCGCCACCCAUGGACCCCAUCCCGCCGUGGUGGCAGUCCUGACUGUGGGAGGCUUCCUCCUGAUCAUGGCUGCAGCCGUCGGCAUCUUCUUAGCAAUCAGCCGCGCCAGGCAGCGGCGGCGCCAAGGACACGCGUUUGAGGGCAUCCCCCCGGGCGAUCCCACUGCCACGAAGGCCCAUUCGGUGCCUAUGUCAUCGUCAUCAUCAUCGCGAUCAGCCCACUGGUGGAACUUGUCCGCCCACCGUCGUCGUCAGCACUUCAGCGAUGAAGACAGCAGCACCCUCCCGCCGCCGAAUAGCAAUACUACCCACUCGCAGCCUGUAUCAAGUGGGCAGGACGGAAGUGCUGAACAGCAGCAGCAGCAGCAGCAGCAGCAGCAACCAGUGAUGGUGGUAGUACUGGGAGAUGACGAUAACCACGGCGGCAACGUCGCAGCGAGGCCUGAUGGUGGCGCUGGGGUGGGUGCAACCCCCGCCGGCGGCGGCAUGUCGACAGCUUCUGGGAGCUCUAUGCCCGUAAUGCAGCCGCUGGCGCAAGCGGAGCCCUUCCAGCCUGUUGCUGCUGCUGCUGCUGUAGCUAUUACGACUACUAAUGCGGCUGCAGCGGCGGUCCUGGACGGACUCGGAGAUCAGCAGCGUCAGAGACCAAGCAGCAGUAGCGCUGCUGCGGCUGGGAUACUGCCUGUUCGCGGCCGCGGUUCUAGAACGGCCGAGGUGUGGCGAAACAAAGUAUCACAAAUCACGCAAUCCAUGUUCUGCCACCACGUCUGGGCCUUGCUUUCCACAGGGUUCUGCAUAGAGCUCUGUAGUCGUCACUCAGUCGUGCCCGGUCUGCGCUUUUCCUUACGUUUUGGUUUCUCCCCUCACAAGGUAUCGCUUUUCCUCUCUGCAUUAUACUUUUAUUCGCUUGCUGUCAUGCAUGGUGAAUAUGGUGAAUCCAAUGUUUUCCUGUGUCAACCCCGCGGGGACGGGCCGCCUGCUUUUGCUUGCAGGCCAACCGCAUUGCCCUUGCGCAUGCCUUGGCUCAAGGUAUGACCGCAUCAAGGGUAGCUGAUGCUGGACCAAACAUGGCAACUGCUGCUGCUGCUGCUGUUCCACGACGGCAUGAGCUGCAGCUCGACAAGCAGAGAGGCGACGAUGGUGGGCCCAGCGGCGGGGGUGGCACUGGGGGGCACAGCGCUGUCGCGGCUGCACGACCUAACGGUACAGCGGACAGUCAAGUCUUCGCCUUGGAGAUGCAGGUAUGUAUAAAUGUGUUGGAUCGGGGGUUUUGGCUUCACCUCCUGGCAGUCCCUACCUUCCCGAGUACUUCCCAGCAACCUCAUCUUUUCACCCAUGCCGAGUUCCGCGACCUCAGUGGCUUUUUCGGGUUUUCAGCACCCACUGCCAUCGGCAUCCUCCAGUGGAAUCUGCCGGAUCAACUGCGGCAACAACUACGGCCCUGGUCGAUGCGCAGGCCACUAUACCUGCCCUUGCUGCCUGCCUGUACUGCUGCUUUAUUGAUGAUACCAUGUUAAGCCUGCGGGUUUCCCGGGCCGGCUCUGGCUUUGCCGGGCACCAUACAUGUCUUGGACAGAACUACUACCGAGAGCUGACGAGGUCCACUGGCGCGGAGGGCGCGGAGCUCAACCAGCAUCCAAAAGCGAAGAGUGCGGAGGAGGUGGUAGCGGACAUGCGCCAGAUGACGUCGCGCUUGUCAACACUUUGGAGGCAGCAUGGCUCCGCACGUAUCUCCGAUGUAAUUAAGGCGCUGCAGGUGCGCACAAGAUACCCGGCUAGGUGACCUGGCCAGCAGCAGCAAGCAGGCGGUUAUUUUUGCUUGUUUAGAGGUGGGAGGUGAAAGCCUCCUCCCAACAUGUGAUAAGAGAGGAUUUAACCGGGCUGAAGGGGUAGCGGUGUGUACGAUACUCGUGUGUACGAUACUCGUGUGUACGAUACAUGGCUGCCCUACAUGAGGACGUACGCCAGACACGUGAACCGGUGUACAAAGUCCGCAAAUGGUGGAGUCGUCUGUUUAUUACCUUGCCUAAGGAGCUCGAGUGGGAGCUCCUACGUGUCUUGAAUGCCUCGUAAUACAACGGCCGCUUGCUGUCCUCCCCCUUGUCUCUGCUCUUUCCUAUCCAGAGAAACUUGAAAGACACCGACUUCCAACUGCACGACGUCAUUGGCUGCGGCGCGUCCGGUGCCGUGUAUCGCGGCGUGUGGCGGGGUCUUCCCGUGGCGGUAAAGACGCUGGUUGUGGCCACUGAUCUGGCGGGCACGGAGGGCCGGGCGAGGCAGAGGGCUGUCCUGGAGGCCGCCGUGUCCAUGAGUUUGGCGCACCCAAACAUCGUAGGUAGGUGUGUAGACACGUACUGCGUGUUUGUGGACGCGCGUCCCCACGCAACAAUAGUUAGUCGCGUGAGGCGGAUUCGAAUAUCCGCCGGAAAACCGGCCGCUGGUUAGCUGCAGAUCUUUGCCGACCUGCCGUAUGUUAUUGCAGUGAACCGUUCCUUCAAGUGCAAGCUAGGAAACGUUUAGACGAAGCACAUCCCAGGGUAGACGCCAGGCGAGCUCAGGAACAAGGGGGUUUCUGUAAACAUAAAAUCAGCCCGCCAACCUGCCAACCCGCCGCCGCCCUAACGACCAAACGAACCAAUCAGGUUCGCAGCACUGCAGUUCUUGAACUUGUCACUCUUUCCCUCUUCCAGCUUACAUGCAUACAUGCAGACAAGCAAGUAGUAGUCAUGGCAGCACGAUUAUAUUAUUGGUAGACAGAUGUGCAUGUGUGCACGCGGUGCGCCCCUGCCGAGGUUCCCCCAGCCGCCGUAUCUCUGUGUAUGUGGCACUCACAGUUGCUUGGUUCUCUCCCGCCUUAUCCCCCCCCCGGCUGCACGUACAGCGACGUACUCGUAUGACGUGGAACCACUCGUACACGUGCCGUCGGUCGAAGAGGAAGGACAGCGUCUCUCUGCUUGCAACAACAGUGCUGCCCAAGAUGGUGAUGGCCAGGGUGCCGACAGGGUACUUGUUGGCAAAAGCUUCGAGCGGUGCGAAGCUUACAGAUUGUACAUCGUCCAGGAGUACUGCAACGCCGGCAAUCUACGGAGCGCGCUAGGUGAGCAUUCAAAUGGUUAUGCUCUGGGCCGCGCGAGUGUGCUGCGCUUCCUGUUGCAUGUGUGCAUGCAUGCAUGCAUGCAUGUGUGCAUGUGUGUGCGGUGGUGACGGAUCGAAGCCUUACCCGAAUUGGUGGGUUUACAUGUGCGCACGUGAACCUGGAGGUAGGAACUUGAAUGGUAAGUACCUUUCAUCGUGCCAUUUGGUUGAAGGUUAAAGAAAAAAACGUACCGAUCGCACACCAAAUCGGUUUGGUUCUUCUUUGAGCGUGUGCUCGUGCGUCGUUCAGACAGACGACCAGGCUACCUAUACCCCACGCGCUGCCUGGGUGUUGUGCGCGGGGGGCCCAUCCACACAGAGCCCAUGGAAGCCUGCCUAGCCAGUCCUGGAUUUAGGUAAAGAAGCGAAUAAGGUUUGCGGAUGAUAAACCUGCCACAGAUGUAUUCACUUCAGGCGUGUUAGUCGGCUGCCCCCCAGCGGCGGGAUGAACAUUUGGACGGUCAAUAACUCUGAAUUGACCACUGGUGGAAUGAACUGAUGGCGGCACACACCAAUGAAUCCUCCCGCUUUGCUCGCCAUGAUAACAAGUCAAGACCUGUCUCUUGCCCUUGCAAUGCAUAACAAUAACGACCAGAGCGCGGCAUGGCCGGAAGCUGCGUUCUAGGGCCUGGUGUUCUCGAGGGACAGCUGGCUCGUCGCCUGGCGCUGGAUGUGGCUCUGGGUAUGCACCACAUUCACAGCUGCCGCAUCAUCCACGGAGACCUGAAGCCCGGUGCGUGCUAGCGGCGGGGCAGUGGAUGGGAGCCUGAAAGCGCAAUAAUGUGUGUGUUUUCGUAAUUUUGCUGAAGGGGGACGUUAGGAGCGACAGAUCGGGGCCGCUGCCGGUGACGAAGUGUGUGCAUAUGUUUCGAAAUGUUAUUGGCCCUGUUUCCUUCGAUCAUGCAGAGAACGUGCUGCUAAUGUGGGGGGCGCGUGCCGAUGAAGGGCCGAGCGGGGGAGGGGCACCACCCCCUGCGCUGUGGGAUGUUCGUCUGACCGCCAAGGUUGCGGAUUUUGGCCUGAGCGUGACAUUGCCGGAGGGAGCCACACACGCCUCGCACUGCUUCCACGGCACCCCCAUGUACCUGGCGCCGGAGGUGGGUGGGUGGGUUUAUCCCUGUGCUGGUAUUCAUAUGUGCCUGUUCGCGGUGUGCGUGAAUCUGUGCACUGCUGGGCCGGGGUCUUUUGGUCACAUUUCCGCGUAAGGGCUUUACAUGUACCCUGUUUCUAAUUGACCGUCGAGCUAGUUGUUAGCGUGCGUGCGUUAUAUUGCUUGCUUUUGUUGAUCUUAUCCACUUUCGCGGUGGCUGUGCUGGGGCCCUCGAAAAGUUGUGGAGACCACGGUACUUCGCAACCGUGUUGUAGGCGACCUUUACCAGCCUCUGGUACACGUGACCUCCCCUUGCACGGUCGUACGACCAGCCUCGGCCAAGGAGGUUUUGUUUCUGCCUUUUAUCUAUUUAGGAUUGCACAUCAUCCGCUACUCACACUAACGGCGAGCUUCCGUCGAGACAAAGAGAGAGAGAGAGAGUUAUGCACCCGCCACGCGCUAUUACAAAGCGUACGAACAUCGGUGCAUCAGUCGUGACCAGAACCGAAGGGGAUAACAAGGAAGCCCUCCGUCCUUGAGCUCUCCUAGCCAUAAUUAUGCACCCGAAACAGCUUUGGAAGCGCGCGUGACGAAUGUAUAGGGGAACAUUGACGAUGUUUCUUAAUGCUCCAGAGCUGGGUUUAUAAACUGUUACGAUUAGCAGCAGUAAUGCUGCCAGGUUCCUGCUCUUGGUGACUCCACUGCUUUUUCUGCUUAGCCUCCCUUGCGCGAGUGCUAUGGGUGUGUAUGCAUUAGUCCCAAAUUGUGGAAUUUCAAUCGUUUUAGUCAAGACGCGUUUGUAACCGCGCCCCCGCAGGUGGCGGCUGCCGGUCAGUUGUCACCCCGCGCCGACGUGUGGUCGUUCGGCCUCAUCCUCAUCGAGCUGUACUUCGGGUGCCCCAUCCACGAAGUGCUUGAAGCGUGUGCAGCUGUCCAGAGCGCCACCAAAAGUCAAGUUAGCGCGGUUGAUCACGGCGGCGGCGGCGGUGGUGCUGGUGGCGGUGGUGGUAAUGGCGAGCGGAUUAUGGGGCCAUCAAAUGCAUAUCUCCCGGUGCGCAGCUCCGCGGCCAGCUGUACACUCGCGUACUAUAUGCCAAAGCAUAUAGAACACACGGAAAGAAAGCAAGGACUACCCCCUUCCCUCCCCAGCUCCUAGCUAUCUAUCAUCUUCACCAUGCGCUCGAUAGCGGCUGUGGAUUUAUUUGUCAACCAAAUCAACCAAGCUUUCCAUUGUCUGUGGCGUCCUUCACCUGCUGGCCCGGCCAUUGACCUCUACCGUACCGUUCAUACUGCAUGUAUGCAGGGCGUCCUAUCCUCCAUUGCUGUUCGGCAGUACGCGGAUCUUGUAGGCAAGUGCUUGUCCUUGGAGCCUCGAGACCGCCCUGACUUUGGAGAGCUAGCGGUGGCGCUGCGGGCCCUUUGGAGCUAAGAGUUUUCUUGUCGGGCAAUGUAAAAACAGCUUGCUCACUGUGAGUGCGCGCUGUAGGUGCAUACUCAAUAUUAUAAGUUAGAGGCUGGAAUUGAUCUUUUAAAUAAGCUCGAAGAAGUAUAUACAUAAAAAUUUAUGUUUUGAUCGUUGAUAAGAUUCUAUUGGAUGAUGGUUGUAGCUCUUCAAUAUUGGCAUAUUCUAUGCUUGUAUCAUCGCGUGUUUUCAUGUUGUGUCUGCGUAUGUGCUAGGACGCAACACUACUGCGCCUCUCGCCGUGUAUGUGCGUCUAUUUGCGUUGUGUAUCUGCGUAUCUGCGUGUGCGUGUGAGUAGGGCGUGUGUGCGUGCGCGCGUGCGUGUGUGCAUGAGCGUGCGUACGAGUGCGUGCUUGUGUGUCGUACAUUAGUAAUACCCUCGUCUACCAUGCAUGACCUGGCACAGGCGGAAGCCAGCCAUGCGUGCGCGUGCCUAGCUUCCAUGCGUGGUCUAUGGAUGGGCGUGGAUGUGCGUGCAACCCUGAUGCGGAUGGGGCUGAGCUGGUUCGUACACGGACUGUCUUUUCUUUUCUUUGUGAUGGCGAUGAUCAAUGCAAAUGAUGUUUAAAUUUAUUGACAGUAAAAGUAUCGGAUGGCAACACAACCCAGGCUCCACAAGGUCGUAUAAGGCCAUAUAAGCGUUCUGAUGGAAAGGCACAUACGCCCGCCGUAUGUGGGCACAGGUCGACUUCUGAGCAAGUCGUGAUUUGCAAGUGCCUGGAGCAUGUUCGGAGCAUGUUUGGGACGGUUUGCAGUCGCUGUGUCGGCCUGUCUUCCCCAGUUCCCUGCAGCCCAGUGUCCGAGGUCUUCUUCCCUUUGCUUAUUUCUUCGUAGUCGUCGCUUUUUGCUUUUUUGGGCCUGUCCUGAGCGCAGGAAUUGGGCUUUUUGCCCAUCGUCCUUUGUUCGAGUCCCCCCAUAUUAUGAGCUCCUGUCCUUGUUUGACUGAUGAGCCCUGCGCUUUAGUGUAAGCCUUGGGUGGGUGUAUGUGCGUUACGGGAUGGCUCCAUCUUUCCUUUUCGCGCUCUUGCUUGGCAACCUUUGUAACCAACUCUCUGCAAACCGCCCCCCCGAGAGCCGCAUCUGGAGUAGAGGCCGUCGUGUUGGUCCUCAAAAUAGCGUACUUGGUAAGUAGACUGGUAGUAUGAGGACCCUGUAACUGUAACUGUAGGUCUACGCAGGUUUUGGACCGCAAGCUGGGGUGUAGCCAGCCAAAGCUUCGAUGAGUAAGGUAGUGAUAAAUGGGCAGCAGCCUUGUUUAGCACACCCUGUAGACGGGACGGGAAUCACUCUGAGCUGGCCAGAAGCCGUCAGCCUUAUGGACAAUCACUUCGGAACGCUGUUGAAUGACCGCCAAGACAUGCACACCGUACAUGCCUGUGACAUCAUGGCCAUAAGAAACCUCAACAGAACCUAUCCAAGGCUUGCUUCAAAUCAAUACGGCACACUAUCAACGUAGGUAACCCCAAUUUCCGAGGAUGUGUAAAUGCGAAUACCUACCAUUAUCGACCUGUGCGCAGGGGAGCCCAUGCGAAGGUGGGCGCAUGGGGGCUGUUGCAUAAUUACAAAUGCUUGUGCUGACAAAAACCCUUGCUCGGACAAACCCAGUAACAUCGCGAGCACCAGGCUGCCCGGUCGCCUUUCCCGUCAGUCCCGACAGGAGCUACAACUCGACAACCCUGAUAAAUAUCCCUGUCCUCACCCUUAAAGCGGAUAGGAGGAAAAGCAAUCUACCAAAACAAGGAGGUUACGCUCACUGCGCAACAUACACCUAGUGGAAUUGAGAAAGGUAAUACGCAGACAGCCGUAAUGAAAGCAAAUACACGCGAAAUGCUUGAGCAACACCAAGAGCUAAUCCCAUAUCUCUAACAAGCCGGGUGAGAUGCUAGGUGCACGCCACAAGGGGUCAUAAGCCGUAAUGAGUUGCUUACACGGAAGUGUGUUGUUGUUGUGGUUACAGUAUUUCCGCCGCCGACGCGGCGGGUGCCCUCACGAGCCGUGAGGCUCCAGAGCACGCUGUUGACGCUCAUCAAAAACCUCAGUAAGGAAAGUAGCGAUUUUCCUCGGAUUGGUAUUAAGAAAUACCUUGCGCAUAUCAGUAUCUUCAACGUUAAUCAGAAACCUAUUACGCAACUCAGUAUACGCCUCACACUCCAUGAGCACAUGAUAUUCAUCCUCAACCUUACCCGACGUACAGACCUGACACGUACGGCACUCUCUCGGCCUAUGGUGUCCUUUGUUGACCUCCAAAGGCCAACAACAAAGACGGAAUUUGGCAACCAUACGCAACUGGUUGACCGGCAAAUAAACACGCAAAUAGCCUGUGGGAUCGGAGCCCUCUCUUGCUGGUGAAGGGGAGCCCAUCCAGUUAUGAUACCUGCAAAGCGAAACCCCUUUACCUUGGAACACACGCGGAUCACCCCCUUGGCUGAACUGAUCCCAGUCACUUAAAAGGAACGCAGAUAACCUCUCCAGAACCUCACCCACUCGAAUCAACUGAGACGAGUAUACAUCUACCUUCUGAGAAACGGAGUCACACGCCGGCCACUCAUGGCCCAACCAACGCAAAAUGAUGAGCACUUUAGACGACCAGCAAUCNNNNNNNNNNNNNNNNNNNNNNNNNNNNNNNNNNNNNNNNNNNNNNNNNNNNNNNNNNNNNNNNNNNNNNNNNNNNNNNNNNNNNNNNNNNNNNNNNNNNNNNNNNNNNNNNNNNNNNNNNNNNNNNNNNNNNNNNNNNNNNNNNNNNNNNNNNNNNNNNNNNNNNNNNNNNNNNNNNNNNNNNNNNNNNNNNNNNNNNNNNNNNNNNNNNNNNNNNNNNNNNNNNNNNNNNNNNNNNNNNNNNNNNNNNNNNNNNNNNNNNNNNNNNNNNNNNNNNNNNNNNNNNNNNNNNNNNNNNNNNNNNNNNNNNNNNNNNNNNNNNNNNNNNNNNNNNNNNNNNNNNNNNNNNNNNNNNNNNNNNNNNNNNNNNNNNNNNNNNNNNNNNNNNNNNNNNNNNNNNNNNNNNNNNNNNNNNNNNNNNNNNNNNNNNNNNNNNNNNNNNNNNNNNNNNNNNNNNNNNNNNNNNNNNNNNNNNNNNNNNNNNNNNNNNNNNNNNNNNNNNNNNNNNNNNNNNNNNNNNNNNNNNNNNNNNNNNNNNNNNNNNNNNNNNNNNNNNNNNNNNNNNNNNNNNNNNNNNNNNNNNNNNNNNNNNNNNNNNNNNNNNNNNNNNNNNNNNNNNNNNNNNNNNNNNNNNNNNNNNNNNNNNNNNNNNNNNNNNNNNNNNNNNNNNNNNNNNNNNNNNNNNNNNNNNNNNNNNNNNNNNNNNNNNNNNNNNNNNNNNNNNNNNNNNNNNNNNNNNNNNNNNNNNNNNNNNNNNNNNNNNNNNNNNNNNNNNNNNNNNNNNNNNNNNNNNNNNNNNNNNNNNNNNNNNNNNNNNNNNNNNNNNNNNNNNNNNNNNNNNNNNNNNNNNNNNNNNNNNNNNNNNNNNNNNNNNNNNNNNNNNNNNNNNNNNNNNNNNNNNNNNNNNNNNNNNNNNNNNNNNNNNNNNNNNNNNNNNNNNNNNNNNNNNNNNNNNNNNNNNNNNNNNNNNNNGUGAACGGACCAUUCAUAGUGUCGGCCAUAGACCGUCUAGCAUGCACCGGUUCGGAAUCACGCCACGCCGCCCCGACUUGGGAGCCCGCACCGAGAUUGAUACAGUUGAGAAUGGCACAGACACGGGCCUCCUGCACCUCAUCGAAGGAGGCUGAGGCAUUAUAAAGGCGAUCGAAGUAGUCCGUCCACUCCGACACGUCUUCCACAUUGCAUCUGGACGCUGGCUUACCGUUCAGACGUUGCCAUAGGGUCUUCGCAUCCCGUUUGCAUGUAGCUAUGAAUAACUCCAAGGCUCGCAGCCGGUGAUCCCGUCGUGCGUUACGCUUAGCACGAUUAAACUGACGACGUAACUCUUGAAAACUCGUAUGCCCCAUAGCCGGGGCAGCACACCCCCACUUCAUCACAUCAGACCGAUACUGCAACAUGGCCUGCUUAGCCGCAGCACACUCAUCAUUCCACCACGCCGCCUUGCCGUUAGAAACCGGCCCGGGCCUGAAGGCAUCACCGAAGCAACCCAGCAAAAUCCGUUCGAUAGUGUCCACCGCCUGGGUGACACCAAUCUGGCCAGCACGCAGGGAAUCCACAACCGCCCGGACACCAACCACAGGGGGGGCCUCCGGGUUGUAGAACAUGUCUGUGUACCUGUGCGCCUCAGAGACAAGAAACGUCGGCUUGGGUUUACGCGUGGGUGGCCGGUCCGGCCUCCAAACCGACGCGAGGUGAAGGGACACGGGGUUAUGAUCACUCAAGCGGCGUUCUUCACGGUAAAAAGAAGUGAUCUGCCCAGACCUCCCAAAGCUUCUCCAAUAGCUAAGCGUGAAGCACAACCUGGUAGCCCACUUCUGCACCAGCCUCCAAAGGCCGCCAGUACGUUGGUCUACAGUGAUAUUGAUUAGCACACAACGCCACCUCAAGGGGGAUGAAAGGCCCUCAGCCCGUUGGAUGGUCCUGACCACCGGAAGGUUGGAAGUUUCCUUAGUUUAUGUCAGGUACCUUCUGUGAGACAUCAUGCAGAAGGCACCCGCCAUAGACUAAAGGAACCUUUUAAACUUUCGGUGGUCAGGACUACCCAGCAGGCUGAGGGCCUUUCAACCUUUUUUCCUCCAAUCAUGGUGCAGACCCUAAGUUUUAAUGCUACUACCUCUUUACCAAUGCGAUGAGGAGGUCAGCACAACUGCAUACAGCACCUAAGUUCACCCCAUAUCUACAGGAUGCAACAGCCAGGAUGGGGUUUUGCACCAGGCAUGAGCCGGGGUUUUUAGGAGGGCGAUUAUGGGCCUUCCAGGCAUGCUAAAAGCCCGGCUUGUGUGGGGUACUUGUGUAAUGCUUUGCGGGCGAAGUGACAUGUUAAUCGUUCAUGACCCAUCGACGCCUUACCAUUGUUUGCAUGCUGUCGUUAACGUAUUUGUGAAUGGGUUGACGUGCGCACGGCUUUAUAUUCAAAAGUUACAUUCCAUGAUCAGCGAUGGGUUAAACGUCGGCAAUCGAACCUGGAUUGCGUCGAGCUACUAGAUCUCACACCGCCAAACACACCAGGAAAUCCGUUGCAGAGAGACAUACUUCAAGCGUUUCCCCGGCACCCGCCGUCCUCGCAGAUCACGCCAAAAAGGCCAGCGAUUUUGGCCACAAGGACUCAGUCAAACGAUGUCAGACCAGACACCCUAAUUUAGGCCGAAGGGGUGAACUUGGUGGCAUAGGCGAAGGCGUUAACAGCGCUGGGGUUGGCGAGGUGGUCAGACAGGUUCUCGAUGGGGCCCUUGCCGGUCACAAUAGCCUGCACGAAGAAGCCGAACAUGGAGAACAUGGCCAGGCGGCCGUUCUUGAUCUCCUUGACCUUGAGCUCGGCGAAGGUGUCCGGGUCGUCAGCCAGGCCCAGCGGGUCGAAGGCGCCACCGGGGUGCAGCGGGUCCAGGCCCUCACCCAGCGGGCCGCCGUUGGCGCGGUAGGCCUCAGCCAGGCCCAUCACGACAACCUGGAGCAUAACAUGGCGUGAGGAGGAAAAACCAUCCGGAGGCUUUCAAUGCAGGGGUUGCGAGCUAAGUGAGAACAAUUUGGCGCGAGAUCUCGCUGGUAUCACAUUAGCAUGAUAUAAUACACGCGCGUGCUAGCCUCGCCGAGGAAUAGGUACAUGGGGACGCCUGGCGGCAUGCAACGACGUCCAAAGUACCAAAAAAAUCUCCCUAUCCACUGGCAAUUUCGUAAGCUAGCACAGCCCACAAAACUUUAAAGCUUCAGAUCCAUCCACGUUACGCAAAUACCUGGAAGGCCAGGGUGGCAAUGAUGGACUGCGCGUGCACCAGGUUCUCAUUGCCCAGGUAGUUCAGGCCACCCUCAGCGAAGAUCUGGGCGCCGGCCUUGAACCAGACAGCCUCGCCGAACGAGACACCCGCGUACUUGGACAGCAGCUCGGGGGUCACGCAGCCCAGAGCGCCCAACAUGGCCCAGCGCGCAUGGAUGAGCUCCAGCUCGCGGUAGCGCUUGAAGGUCUCCGGGUCAGCGGACAGGCCGGCAGUGUCCCAGCCGUAGUCGCCGGGGAACUCGCCAGUCAGGUAGGCAGGGGUAUCGCCCUCAGAGAAGGGGCCUG